rnacentral:lncRNA from 1 species
CUUUAACCAACGAUUUAUAUACAUACAGAAACAAUUAAAUUAUUGCAAGUAAAAUAUCAUAUCGUUUGAUAUAUCAGUGUUCAAAAAAAUAUCGGAAUAUUGGGACGAGUAAAUUGAAGAUACACGAUGUAUCAUAUCAUCUCAACUCUGUUUCAGAGUCAGAUAACAAAUGAUCCAACUCCAACUCUGACAUUCUCAGAUCAGCAGAUUGGUAGCUUUUUACCAGCCCUACAUCCAUAUCGACAGCCAUGAUUGAAAUUCCAGAUAUUGAUGAUGCAAUUGAAGCUGUCACAGGCUACAUCAUUAAGGUAGCUGAAAUGUCUAUUUGCAAAUCAUCAGAGACCACGAUGGAAUCAUGACUGUGAAAUGGCCUACAACAAGUAGAAGGCUUGGGUUAUUUUCUACCACUACCUACUUAAAGAAAUUAAUUUCCUUCAGACUCAUAAAAAUACAACUUUCAAAAGAUCUGACAUCAGAGCCACCAUCAUGUCCUCUAUAUCAGCGGUUGCCAAAUGGUGAUCUCCGGAUCACCAGUAGUCCCUCGCGUAAUUUUAAUGGUCCACAAAGAAAUUCAGAUAUUAUUUAAAUUCGUUGAGCUUAUUUAAUAAAAUUUUUAAAUAAAAAAUAAAUUUUGUUUAAGUU